CCCGUCGUAGCUCAACCUGGUAGAGCGUCGGACUGUAGAUCCGAUGGUUGCUGGUUCAAAUCCGGCCGACGGGA
rnacentral:tRNA from 1 species